rnacentral:sRNA from 1 species
AUUGCUUACAAAAUAUAUCUGCAUAGUCCGUUAGUUUUGGAGGCUGAGUGAAAACUCCUGUGAUUUCAGAAAUAUUGUAUCUGUGAUCUGCUAGAUUUUAAGGAGAAAACUUCAUUAAGUCUUAUUUUCUAGGUUAGGAGUACUGUCUCUUCCCUCAGUUGACAGGCUGCCGAAGCAGCUUAGAAUAAAGGUUUUUCUGUUAAAGCCAGGAGCUUAAAGAGGAUCUUGACUUGACCCACUCUUCCUUUAUACUCAGAUUCCUGGGCUGACUGAUUUCUGUUAACUACAGUUACUUUAUUGGUAGUCUUAACUGUUACUGUGAAACACCCAUAUUCUGCUUUCACUUCCGGAGAAAAUUGUUUCAUUUCCAUAGAGGUAAUCUUUCUAGUGUUGGAGUAAACAGGCUUUUAGCAACUUUUGGGUUCCCCAUUUCUAUAUUCUCACCUAUGUUAAUUUUUGCCUGUGGUAAAAAUAGCAAAAACUACACCCUCAUUUUUGAGACUUCCUCCUUUGUCCAUGGAGAGAAGGGAAGUGUCCGUUCAGAAUACUUGAUAGGGAAUUCCAAGGGAUUGUUGUUAAUUGGAAGCCCCAGAGCAUCACUACAUCCUUUAACCAUUUCUUGAUGUUAAAGGCAGCUGUUCAUAUAUUUUUCUUUUAAUCUUUUUACAGUCACUCAUGGAGGGUGGUAGAGGGGAAAGGCUGUCACAUUUCAUGUCACCCCACCAUGUUUUAUAAUGGCUUUGAAGUCAUUUGAACGUUUCUAGAGUCGUCUGGGGCCUAGAGACCUGAACUCAUUUUACUGGAUGAGUUAGCCUUUCCUUCUGUGUUAAACCUCAAACCUUAAUUUGUCUGUUCUGUGUUACAUUAUAAAUGUUUUCCCUGAGCAUCAAAGGAUCAUCCAAAUUUUCUCCAUGAUGUUGUAAACCACAAAACUAUCUUCUAAAGUGUUUUGAGCUGUAAUUUAGAAUAAUCCUCUACUGUCCUUUCAAGAAUGUCCAGAAUACUCUGAAGAUGUAUCACACAAGGAAAUCUCUUGUGAUUUUAUCUGAAAGCUUCACCUUUGAUUCAUGCCAUAUAGUGACUUACUGUAAUACUGCUUCCUUUUGAGUCUUGCCAUUUCUGCUCUCUGGAGUAGAAAGGCUUACCAGGCUUUACUUUGUCUAAGUUUGACAACCUAAAAUAAAGGUUGCCUUGAUAAUUUUACCUAGCUAUCAGACUGACUAGGAGUAGGUUCUGUCCUUUCCUCAUCUACUGUUUUGGUGCCUUGGCAGAACUUUUCCUUGGUUUCAUUACUUAGUAUACCCUUUUGUUAAUUAUGUGUCUUUAGCUCGUUGGUGACCUAGUUAUCCUGGUUACCAUUCCUUUGCUAUUUUUCAUUACAAAUCCCCCCUUAACCUGCCAGCCAAUCCCAGUUUUGGUUGGGAAAGCUAUGAGUACACAAUAUUUACCUAAACUUUGGCUAUUGUAUGUAGUUUCUGUACUCUUUUGCUUCCUGGGCCCUAGGUUAGGAGCUCCUGAUUUAGCUGCCUGGUUUUAAUGUGUACUUAAGUAACUAGGUAAGUUAGGUUAAUUCCUGGUUUCCCAUAAGUUUGCCCUGGCUCAUCUCCAUUUAGCUGGAGAAGCUGUGGAGGAUCUCUGACACCCUCUCUACUCUUAUUUGUGUGUAGUUCGCUGUUCUGUUGUAGCUCCAUCUGGUUGCUUUCAGUUUUUUAGGGGGCCUCCCACCAUGGUUAGAUGCUAUAGGGUUUUACAGGGUUUAGUGUCCUUCAAGCUAGCCUUUGCUUUCCGCUAGGUUUCUGCUUUUCUCUAGGAUUUGAAACUGAGAUCAUCAUCUUUAUCUCUUUUAUCACUGAAUUAUAAGUAGUAACUUGAAAGGUCAAGGUCUUUUUAAAAAUCAAGCAUUUUUUUAAGUAAAUUAUAUAAAUUAUAUAGGAUUUUGUUUUAUUGAUUGCAACUUGAUUGAAAUAGGUAUAAAGUAUAGGUGUCAUAGUUAAUAAGGUUCCGCCUCACCCUAGUCUUUAUGGAAUAACAUUCUGAAACACAGUCCUUGGACAGUUCCCUUAACUGCUUGACUUUGGCACCCCUUUCUGAAGGAAGUGGGGUCAAAUAACUCUUUCCCUGCUCCAAAAAGGUGGAAGAAAGGACAAGUUAAUUGACUUAUGUCAUUUGGAGCAAUGAAACUAUUAACACCAGGUAUACUCAGUUCCUGCCCUUACCUAUAUUUUCUUAUCUUGGAAGGGGAUUGCUGUCCCUCACCAUUUAUCUCACAGCAGCUUAUUUGUUUUUAAAGUUGCCCAGAAAGUGUGCAAAUUAAACUUUUAACAUCUACGUGUAGGAAUCCCGUUCUGCUUCCAGAAGUGGAAGUGCUCACGGAUCGGGGAAAUCUGCAAGGCAUACCCCUGCAAGGUCUCGCUCCAAGGAAGAUUCCAGGCGUUCCAGAUCAAAGUCCAGGUCCCGAUCUGAAUCUAGGUCUAGAUCCAGAAGAAGCUCCCGAAGGCAUUAUACCCGGUCACGGUCUCGUUCCCGCUCCCAUAGACGAUCACGUAGCAGGUCUUACAGUCGAGAUUAUCGUAGACGGCACAGCCACAGCCAUUCUCCCAUGUCUACUCGCAGGCGUCAUGUUGGGAAUCGGGCAAAUCCUGAUCCUAACUGUUGUCUUGGAGUAUUUGGGCUGAGCUUGUACACCACAGAAAGAGAUCUAAGAGAAGUGUUCUCUAAAUAUGGUCCCAUUGCCGAUGUGUCUAUUGUAUAUGACCAGCAGUCUAGGCGUUCAAGAGGAUUUGCCUUUGUAUAUUUUGAAAAUGUAGAUGAUGCCAAGGAAGCUAAAGAACGUGCCAAUGGAAUGGAGCUUGAUGGGCGUAGGAUCAGAGUUGAUUUCUCUAUAACAAAAAGACCACAUACGCCAACACCAGGAAUUUACAUGGGGAGACCUACCUAUGGCAGCUCUCGCCGUCGGGAUUACUAUGACAGAGGAUAUGAUCGGGGCUAUGAUGAUCGGGACUACUAUAGCAGAUCAUACAGAGGAGGAGGUGGAGGAGGAGGAGGAUGGAGAGCUGCCCAAGACAGGGAUCAGAUUUAUAGAAGGCGGUCACCUUCUCCUUACUAUAGUCGUGGAGGAUACAGAUCACGUUCCAGAUCUCGAUCAUACUCACCUCGUCGCUAUUAAAGCAUGAAGACUUUCUGAAACCUGCCCUAGAGCUGGGAUAUUGUUUGUGGGCAAUAUUUUUUAUUGUCUCUUGUUUAAAAAGUGAACAGUGCCUAGUGAAGUUAGGUGACUUUUACACCUUUUAUGAUGACUACUUUUGGUGGAGUUGAAAUGCUGUUUUCAUUCUGCAUUUGUGUAGUUUGGUGCUUUGUUCCAAGUUAAGUGUUUUCAGAAAAGUAUGUUUUGCAUGUAUUUUUUUACAGUCUAAAUUUUGACUGCUGAGAAGUUUCUAUUGUACAAAACUUCAUUUAAAAGGUUUUUCUACUGAAUCCAGGGUAUUCUGAAGAUCGAAGCCUGUAUAAAAUGCUACCAAAUGGCAAAAAGCAACAAUAAACAGUUUGAUUUUUACUUUUCUUUCUAACAUAUCAGUGCUUAGCAGAACUGUUCAGAUUGUCAGUAGUAAAUUUAAAGACAAAUGCCCGUUUUCCUCCAGUCCAUGAAACAUACCAUACUUAUAUACCUGCAACUAAGUGUUUAAAAUUAUGCUCUGUAACUCUGUACUGCUAGUAUUAGAACUAAAAAUCUUAAAAUACAGCCAGUGCUUAAUGCUUAUAUCAAUGUGGAUUUGUCGGCUUUUAUGUAAUCUGUAAUAUGUAUAGCAGGAAAUACGAAGAGUUACACAGUGUAUGCCUUAAAAGGCUGUUUCUUAAAGCUGUUACAAGGGGAUAAUGGUAUUUCAACUAGUUAUCAGCAAGUGACAAUACAUUCCACCACAAAUACACUCUUGUUCUUCUAGCUUUUAGACUAUAUGAAAAAACCGGGUGCUUCAAAGUACAUGAUAAGGGAACACUAUACCUGUGUCAUGGAUGAACUGAAGACUUUGCCUGUUCAUUUUUUAAAUAUUAUUUUCAGGUCCUUUGCUUACCAAAGGAGGCCCAAUUUCACUCAAAUGUUUUGAGAACUGUGUUUAAAUAAACGCAAAUGAAAAA